AGUGUAAGUGAUAUAUCUAUUAGUGACCAAAGUCUGAGUUUUGCUUAUGAGUCAUUAAUUGACUGACUGCACC